ACAAGGAUUCCUCUAGUAACGGCGAGCGAACGAGGAAAAGCCCAGCACCGAAUCCUGUAUCGUCCUGAUACUAGGAAAUGUGGUGUUUAGGCCGUGCUUUGUGCCGGUAUGAUUCUCCUCAAGUCCACUUGAUUGUGGCUUCAGGCCCAGAGAGGGUGUAAGGCCCGUGGAGGCGAGUCGUCCGGUGCCCGGCACGUCCUUAGAGUCGGGUUGUUUGGGAAUGCAGCCCAAAGCGGGUGGUAAACUCCAUCCAAGGCUAAAUACUAGCACGAGUCCGAUAGCGAAGAAGUACCGCGAGGGAAAGUUGAAAAGAACUUUGAAGAGAGAGUUCAAGAGUACGUGAAACCGCUGAGAGGCAAACUGGUGGAGCUGAAAUGGUCUUGAGGAAUUCAGCCCUUCCUGCUAGAGUUGACGUCGGUUGUGAGAUCUCACGACUCCGCUGGCGGCAUCUUCGUGAAGGAUAGGUGCACUUUCUUCUUGAUCGGACCACGACCAGCGACUUGCUUGCCUGACAUGGGUCGGAAGGUAGCGUUGGCUUCGGCGAACGUGUUAUAGCCGCCUAUUCGGUAGUUGAGCGAGGCGUUGGAUGCGAUGAGUUGGCGCUUGCCCUCUGGGCUCGUACGUUGCCUCUUUCAGGCGUGUCGCCGAUUUCACUGCCUUUGGCAGGGGUGUCGAAGAUGUGUCGGUUAGAAUGGUGGCCUCUGCGAUUGGCGUCGAAAGUCUGUGGUUGUGAAGUAGGCAGUCCACCUGACCCGUCUUGAAACACGGACCAAGGAGUCUAACAUGUGCGCGAGUCAUUGGGCUCUACGAAACCUAAAGGCGAAGUGAAAGUAAAGAUCCAUUUCCAUGGAUUGAGGUGGGAUCCUGAGUCACGUGCUCGGGCGCACUACCGGCCCGUUCGACAUGUCUUCAUGCGGGCGGAGCAAGAGCGUACACGUUGGGACCCGAAAGAUGGUGAACUAUGCUUGCGCAGGUCGAAGCCAGAGGAAACUCUGGUGGAGGACCGUAGCGAUU
rnacentral:rRNA from 2 species